GGACCCUUUUUUUAAUGCGUUGUGGUCUGAAACCCAAGCCGGGAAACCGGUGUUGGGGCGGUACUGCAGGCGGGGUUCAAAUCGUGUUUCUCGAAGACAGCCUGUGCCAUUAACUUGGUUGCGGGAUUUACCUUGUACUCGAGACAUUUACUUUGAAAAAAUUAGAGUGUUCAAAGCAGGCAGUUUCGCUUGAAUACAUUAGCAUGGAAUAAUGGAAUAGGACUUUGGUCUUAUUUUGUUGGUUUCUAGGACCGAAGUA
rnacentral:rRNA from 1 species